GAUGAACGCUGGCGGCGUGCCUAAUACAUGCAAGUCGAGCGAACAGACGAGGAGCUUGCUCCUCUGACGUUAGCGGCGGACGGGUGAGUAACACGUGGAUAACCUACCUAUAAGACUGGGAUAACUUCGGGAAACCGGAGCUAAUACCGGAUAAUAUAUUGAACCGCAUGGUUCAAUAGUGAAAGACGGUUUUGCUGUCUCUUAUAGAUGGAUCCGCGCCGCAUUAGCUAGUUGGUAAGGUAACGGCUUACCAAGGCAACGAUGCGUAGCCGGCCUGAGAGGGUGAUCGGCCACACUGGAACUGAGACACGGUCCAGACUCCUACGGGAGGCAGCAGUAGGGAAUCUUCCGCAAUGGGCGAAAGCCUGACGGAGCAACGCCGCGUGAGUGAUGAAGGUCUUCGGAUCGUAAAACUCUGUUAUUAGGGAAGAACAAAUGUGUAAGUAACUAUGCACGUCUUGACGGUACCUAAUCAGAAAGCCACGGCUAACUACGUG
rnacentral:rRNA from 1 species